rnacentral:tRNA from 1 species
GGAGGAUAUAGCUCAGUGGUAGAGUGCAUGCUUAGCAUGCAUGAGGUCCUGGGUUCAAUCCCCAGUACCUCCA